rnacentral:rRNA from 1 species
UUUUAGAAUUUAAUUUAAAGUCUAACCUGCCCACUGAAUUUUUUUUUAAAUGGCCGCAGUAUUUUAACUGUGCAAAGGUAGCAUAAUCAUUAGUCUUUUAAUUGAAGGCUGGAAUGAAUGGUUGAAUGAAAUAUUAACUGUUUCAUAAAAAUUAAAAUUAAAAUUUUAUUUUUUAGUCAAAAAGCUAAAAUAAAAUUAAAAGACGAGAAGACCCUAUAAAUCUUUAUAUUUUUUAUAUUUUAAUUAUAUAGAUAAAUUAAAUUAUUAUUGAAAAAAUAUUUUAUUGGGGUGAUAUUAAAAUUUAAUAAACUUUUAAUUUAUAAUUAACAUUAAUUAAUGAAUUAUUGAUCCAUUUAUUAUGAUUAAAAAAUUAAGUUACUUUAGGGAUAACAGCGUAAUUUUUUUAGAGAGUUCAUAUUGAUAAAAA